GGCUCGUUGGUCUAGGGGUAUGAUUCCUACUUCGGGUGCAGGAGGUCCCGGGUUCAAAUCCCGGACGAGCCC
rnacentral:tRNA from 1 species